GAUCUCCUAUGGGGUGAAGACCCUGGGGUCCAGAGGUCAGAAGGAACUGUCCAACGUCAAACCAAACCAAACCCUUCAGGAGAAGAAAGAUCUGGUGGCCUAUUCUGCAUGCUGCUUCAGGCUGCCACUGUCCUGAUGGACUGUGACAUCCUUGAAGUGGGAGCUGGACUCAACUCACCUUGCUCCUCUUACUCACCUGAAUCCAGUGCA
rnacentral:lncRNA from 1 species